GAUGAACGCUGGCGGCGUGCCUAAUACAUGCAAGUCGAACGCUGAAGGAGGAGCUUGCUCUUCUGGAUGAGUUGCGAACGGGUGAGUAACGCGUAGGUAACCUGCCUGGUAGCGGGGGAUAACUAUUGGAAACGAUAGCUAAUACCGCAUGACAACAGUUAUUGCAUGAUAACUGUUUAAAAGGGGCAACUGCUCCACUACCAGAUGGACCUGCGUUGUAUUAGCUAGUUGGUGAGGUAACGGCUUACCAAGGCGACGAUACAUAGCCGACCUGAGAGGGUGAUCGGCCACACUGGGACUGAGACACGGCCCAGACUCCUACGGGAGGCAGCAGUAGGGAAUCUUCGGCAAUGGACGGAAGUCUGACCGAGCAACGCCGCGUGAGUGAAGAAGGUUUUCGGAUCGUAAAGCUCUGUUGUAAGAGAAGAACGAGUGUGAGAGUGGAAAGUUCACACUGUGACGGUAUCUUACCAGAAAGGGACGGCUAACUACGUG
rnacentral:rRNA from 1 species